GCGCUCGUAGCUCAGUGGAUAGAGCGCUGCCCUGCGGAGGCAGAGGUCGGAGGUUCGAAUCCUCCCGAGCGCGCCA
rnacentral:tRNA from 1 species